AACCCAUGUUGAGGGCAUUUCCGCAGGAGCUCCUUGAACCUAUCCCAUGUCUCAGAAAGAGACUCCUAAUUCCGUUUGCACAAAGGAGGAUGUUUCAUUCCUGAGCUU